rnacentral:rRNA from 1 species
CCCUUAGAUGUUCUGGGCUGCACGCGUGCUACAAUGGCGCUUGCAACAAGAUUGCCAACCCGAAAGGGUGAGCGGAUCUUUGAAGUGGCGUCGUGAUCGGGACAGUUGAUUGCAAUUAUUCGACUCGAACGAGGAAUUCCUUGUAAUCGCGAUUCAUCAUAUCGCGCUGAAUACGUCCCUGCCCUUUGUACACACCGCCCGCCGCUCCUACCGAUUGAGCGAUCCGGUGAAUAAUUCGGACCGCAGCAGUGUUCAGCUCCUGAACGUUGCAGCGGAAAGUUUAGUGAACCUUAUCACUUAGAGGAAGGAGAAGUCGUAACA